rnacentral:rRNA from 1 species
AGAUUGAACGCUGGCGGCAUGCCUUACACAUGCAAGUCGAACGGUAACGCGGGGCAACCUGGCGACGAGUGGCGAACGGGUGAGUAAUACAUCGGAACGUGCCCAGUGGUGGGGGAUAGCCCGGCGAAAGCCGGAUUAAUACCGCAUACGACCUAUGGGUGAAAGCGGGGGACCGCAAGGCCUCGCGCCAUUGGAGCGGCCGAUGUCAGAUUAGGUAGUUGGUGGGGUAAAAGCCUACCAAGCCGACGAUCUGUAGCUGGUCUGAGAGGACGACCAGCCACACUGGGACUGAGACACGGCCCAGACUCCUACGGGAGGCAGCAGUGGGGAAUUUGGACAAGUGGGCGCAAGCCUGAUCCAGCCAUGCCGCGUGCGGGAAGAAGGCCGUCCGGGUUGUAAACCGCGUUUUGUCGAAGGGAACGAAACGCACCGUGGACCAACGUACCCCGGUGUAAUCGACGGUACCUGAA